UACGUAGGGGGCAAGCGUUAUCCGGAAUUAUUGGGCGUAAAGAGUGCGUAGGUGGUUACCUAAGCGCAAGGUUUAAACUUGAGGCUCAACCUCAUUCUGCCUUGCGAACUGGGCUACUUGAGUGCAGGAGGGGAAAGCGGAAUUCCUAAUGUAGCGGUGAAAUGCGUAGAUAUUAGGAAGAACACCGGUGGCGAAGGCGGCUUUCUGGACUGUAACUGACACUGAGGCACGAAAGCCAGGGGAUCAAACG
rnacentral:rRNA from 1 species